rnacentral:rRNA from 1 species
CCUACGGGUGGCAGCAGUGAGGAAUAUUGGUCAAUGGACGGAAGUCUGAACCAGCCAAGUCGCGUGAAGGAUGACUGCCCUAUGGGUUGUAAACUUCUUUUAUAUGGGAAUAAAACGUUCCACGUGUGGGAGUUUGUAUGUACCAUAUGAAUAAGGAUCGGCUAACUCCGUGCCAGCAGCCGCGGUAAUACGGAGGAUCCGAGCGUUAUCCGGAUUUAUUGGGUUUAAAGGGAGCGUAGGUGGAUUGUUAAGUCAGUUGUGAAAGUUUGCGGCUCAACCGUAAAAUUGCAGUUGAAACUGGCAGUCUUGAGUACAGGAGAGGUGGGCGGAAUUCGUGGUGUAGCGGUGAAAUGCUUAGAUAUCACGAAGAACGCCGAUUGCGAAGGCAGUCCACUGGACUGCAACUGACACUGAGGCUCGAAAGUGUGGGGAUCAAACAGGAUUAGAUACCCGAGUAGUC